UACGGGGGGUGCAACCGUUGCUCGGAAUUAUUGGGCGUAAAGCGCACGUAGGCGGUCUUGUAAGUCGGGUGUGAAAGCCCGGGGCUUAACCCCGGAAGUGCACUCGAAACUGCAAGGCUUGAGUAUGGAAGAGGGUCUCGGAAUUCCCGGUGUAGAGGUGAAAUUCGUAGAUAUCGGGAGGAACACCAGUGGCGAAGGCGGAGACCUGGGCCAAUACUGACGCUGAGGUGCGAAAGCGUGGGGAGCAAACGGG
rnacentral:rRNA from 1 species